AGUGAACGCUGGCGGUAGGCCUAACACAUGCAAGUCGAACGGCAGCACAGUAAGAGCUUGCUCUUACGGGUGGCGAGUGGCGGACGGGUGAGGAAUACAUCGGAAUCUACUUUUUCGUGGGGGAUAACGUAGGGAAACUUACGCUAAUACCGCAUACGACCUACGGGUGAAAGCAGGGGAUCUUCGGACCUUGCGCGAUGAAUGAGCCGAUGUCGGAUUAGCUAGUUGGCGGGGUAAAGGCCCACCAAGGCGACGAUCCGUAGCUGGUCUGAGAGGAUGAUCAGCCACACUGGAACUGAGACACGGUCCAGACUCCUACGGGAGGCAGCAGUGGGGAAUAUUGGACAAUGGGCGCAAGCCUGAUCCAGCCAUACCGCGUGGGUGAAGAAGGCCUUCGGGUUGUAAAGCCCUUUUGUUGGGAGAGAAAAGCAGCAGGUUAAUACCCCGCUGUUCUGACGGUACCCAAAGAAUAAGCACCGGCUAACUUCGUG
rnacentral:rRNA from 1 species